rnacentral:tRNA from 1 species
GCGUCCAUCGUCUAAUGGAUAGGACAGAGGUCUUUC